GCCCAAUGAUGAAACCAAGGCGAAUAUGAGCUGACUGAACAAUAGCUGGGUUCUUUUUGCCUCAACCGGCGGGUAAUCUUGGCAGUGUAAGGGAGGCUUCUUGCUCUGCUGUAAGGGCCCGCCUACAGUAAACUGGUUCCACCAUUAUUUCUCCUCUGGAAGUUUCACUGGAGUAAUCAUGUGGAUGAAGCCCACAGUGUGUGUGUGUGUGUUUGUGUGCAUGUGUAGAGGCCUGAAGUUCACCCAUCUUUUUUCACUGUUCAGUCAGCAAUGAGUUGCUUCUUUGGUAAUCUGAGGGCC